rnacentral:rRNA from 1 species
AACGCACCUUGCGCCCUUUGGUAUUCCGAAGGGCAUGCCUGUUUGAGUGUCAUUAAAUUAUCAACCUUGCUCGCUUUUACCGGCUUGAGUUAGGCUUGGAUGUGAGGGCUUUGCUGGCUUCCUUCAGUGGAUGGUCUGCUCCCUUUAAAUGCAUUAGUGGGAUCUCUUGUGGACCGUCACUUGGUUGUGAUAAUUAUCUACGCUUUGUACUGUCUGUGGAAUAUCUAUGAGUCUAGCUUCUAACUGUCCUCUGGACAAUCUUUCAAUCUUUGACCUCAAAUCAGGUAGGACUACCCGCUGAACUUAA